CAAUAGCGUAUAUUAAAGUUGUUGCAGUUAAAAAGCUCGUAGUUGGAUUUGUGGUUCGUCCCGCCGGCUGGGUCAUUGACCUUUGCUGUGCUGGUCGUCCAUCCUUGGGUGGAAUCUGUGUGGCAUUAGGUUGUCGCGCAGGGGAUGCCCAUCGUUUACUGUGAAAAAAUUAGAGUGUUCAAAGCAGGCUUAUGCCGUUGAAUAUAUUAGCAUGGAAUAAUGAUAUAGGACCUUGGUACUAUUUUGUUGGUUUGCGCACUGAGGUAAUGAUUAAUAGGGACAGUUGGGGGUAUUCGUAUUCCAUUGUCAGAGGUGAAAUUCUUGGAUUUCUGGAAGACGAACGAAUGCGAAAGCAUUUACCAAGGAUGUUUNCAUUAA
rnacentral:rRNA from 1 species